GAUGAACGCUGGCGGCGUGCCUAAUACAUGCAAGUCGAGCGAACAGAUGAGGAGCUUGCUCCUCUGACGUUAGCGGCGGACGGGUGAGUAACACGUGGAUAACCUACCUAUAAGACUGGGAUAACUUCGGGAAACCGGAGCUAAUACCGGAUAAUAUAUUGAACCGCAUGGUUCAAUAGUGAAAGACGGUUUUGCUGUCACUUAUAGAUGGAUCCGCGCCGCAUUAGCUAGUUGGUAAGGUAACGGCUUACCAAGGCAACGAUGCGUAGCCGACCUGAGAGGGUGAUCGGCCACACUGGAACUGAGACACGGUCCAGACUCCUACGGGAGGCAGCAGUAGGGAAUCUUCCGCAAUGGGCGAAAGCCUGACGGAGCAACGCCGCGUGAGUGAUGAAGGUCUUCGGAUCGUAAAACUCUGUUAUUAGGGAAGAACAAAUGUGUAAGUAACUAUGCCCGUCUUGACGGUACCUAAUCAGAAAGCCACGGCUAACUACGU
rnacentral:rRNA from 1 species